rnacentral:rRNA from 1 species
UACGAAGGGGGCUAGCGUUGUUCGGAAUUACUGGGCGUAAAGGGCGCGUAGGCGGUGUGUCAAGUCAGGCGUGAAAGCCCCGGGCUCAACCUGGGAACCGCGCUUGAGACUGGCACGCUCGAGUUCGGGAGAGGAUGGUGGAAUUCCCAGUGUAGAGGUGAAAUUCGUAGAUAUUGGGAAGAACACCGAUGGCGAAGGCAGCCCCCUGGGUCAAGAUUGACGCUCAUGCACGAAAGCGUGGGGAGCAAACAGG